GGAAAAGAAACCAACCGGGAUUGCCUUAGUAACGGCGAGUGAAGCGGCAAAAGCUCAAAUUUGAAAUCUGGUACCUUCGGUGCCCGAGUUGUAAUUUGUAGAAGGUAACUUUGGGGCUGGUCCUUGUCUAUGUUCCUUGGAACAGGACGUCAUAGAGGGUGAGAAUCCCGUGUGGCGAGGAUCCCAGUUCUUUGUAAAGUGCUUUCGAAGAGUCGAGUUGUUUGGGAAUGCAGCUCUAAGUGGGUGGUAAAUUCCAUCUAAAGCUAAAUAUUGGCGAGAGACCGAUAGCGAACAAGUACAGUGAUGGAAAGAUGAAAAGAACUUUGAAAAGAGAGUGAAAAAGUACGUGAAAUUGUUGAAAGGGAAGGGCAUUUGAUCAGACAUGGUGUUUUGCGCCCUCUGCUCCUUGUGGGUGGGGGAAUCUCGCAGCUCACUGGGCCAGCAUCGGUUUUGGCGGCAGGAUAAAUCUUCAGGAAUGUAGCUUGCCUCGGUAAGUGUUAUAUCCUGGAGGAAUACUGCCAGCUGGGACUGAGGACUGCGACUUUACGUCAAGGAUGCUGGCAUAAUGGUUAUAUGCCGCCCG
rnacentral:rRNA from 2 species